GAUGAACGCUGGCGGUAUGCUUUACACAUGCAAGUCGUACGAGAGUUUUUAACUCAAGUGGCGGACGGGUGAGUAACACGUAAGAAUUUGCCUUUAGGAGGGGGACAACAACUGGAAACGGUUGCUAAUACCCCAUAUGCUUUCGAGUGAAAUGGAUAUUUCCGCCUAGAGAGAAGCUUGCGGCUGAUUAGCUUGUUGGUGGGGUAAUGGCCUACCAAGGCGACGAUCAGUAUCUGGUUUGAGAGGACGAUCAGACACACUGGAACUGAGACACGGUCCAGACUCCUACGGGAGGCAGCAGUGGGGAAUUUUCCGCAAUGGGCGAAAGCCUGACGGAGCAAUACCGCGUGAGGGAUGACGGCCUAUGGGUUGUAAACCUCUUUUUUCAGGGAGGAAUAAAAUGACGUGUACCUGAAGAAUAAGCAUCGGCUAACUCCGUGCCAGCCGCCGCCGUAAG
rnacentral:rRNA from 1 species